rnacentral:rRNA from 1 species
GUACACUCCUGCGGGAGGCAGCAGUGGGGAAUAUUGCACAAUGGGCGCAAGCCUGAUGCAGCCAUGCCGCGUGUAUGAAGAAGGCCUUCGGGUUGUAAAGUACUUUCAGCGGGGAGGAAGGCGAUAAGGUUAAUAACCUUGUCGAUUGACGUUACCCGCAGAAGAAGCACCGGCUAACUCCGUGCCAGCAGCCGCGGUAAUACGGAGGGUGCAAGCGUUAAUCGGAAUUACUGGGCGUAAAGCGCACGCAGGCGGUCUGUCAAGUCGGAUGUGAAAUCCCCGGGCUCAACCUGGGAACUGCAUUCGAAACUGGCAGGCUAGAGUCUUGUAGAGGGGGGUAGAAUUCCAGGUGUAGCGGUGAAAUGCGUAGAGAUCUGGAGGAAUACCGGUGGCGAAGGCGGCCCCCUGGACAAAGACUGACGCUCAGGUGCGAAAGCGUGGGGAGCAAACAGGAUUAGAUACCCUUGUAGUCCCAU